CUUAUAAAACAACUAUGCCCCAUGAAAUGUUUGGGAUAUAAUUGUUCUAAAC
rnacentral:pre_miRNA from 1 species